UAACACGUAGGUAACCUGCCCCAAAGCGGGGGAUAACAUUUGGAAACAGAUGCUAAUACCGCAUAACAAUUUGAAUCGCAUGAUUCAAAUUUAAAAGAUGGUUUCGGCUAUCACUUUGGGAUGGACCUGCGGCGCAUUAGCUUGUUGGUAGGGUAACGGCCUACCAAGGCUGUGAUGCGUAGCCGAGUUGAGAGACUGAUCGGCCACAAUGGAACUGAGACACGGUCCAUACUCCUACGGGAGGCAGCAGUAGGGAAUCUUCCACAAUGGGCGCAAGCCUGAUGGAGCAACACCGCGUGAGUGAAGAAGGGUUUCGGCUCGUAAAGCUCUGUUGUUAGAGAAGAACGUGCGUGAGAGCAACUGUUCACGCAGUGACGGUAUCUAACCAGAAAGUCACGGCUAACUACGUGCCAGCAGCCGCGGUAAUACGUAGGUGGCAAGCGUUAUCCGGAUUUAUUGGGCGUAAAGCGAGCGCAGGCGGUUUGAUAAGUCUGAUGUGAAAGCCUUUGGCUUAACCAUAGAAGUGCAUCGGAAACUGUCAGACUUGAGUGCAGAAGAAGACAGUGGAAACUCCCUGUGUAGCGGUGGAAUGCGUAGAUAUAUGGAAGAACACCA
rnacentral:rRNA from 1 species